rnacentral:rRNA from 1 species
ACGUAGGAGACGAACGUUCUCCGGAGUUACUGGGCGUAAAGGGCGUGUAGGCGGUAUGUUCAGUCUGGCGUGAAAGCUCUCGGCUAAACCGGGAGAGGUCGUUGGAUACUGACACACUAGAGGAUGGUAGAGGCGUGUGGAAUUCCGGGUGUAGUGGUGAAAUGCGUAGAGAUCCGGAGGAACACCAGUGGCGAAGGCGACACGCUGGGCCAUACCUGACGCUAAAGCGCGACAGCAUGGGGAGCAAACGGG